rnacentral:snoRNA from 1 species
UGAUGGCCGUUCCUCUCUUUGCCCGUAGUGUUGGGCCUGUGAGAUUUUAGGCUAUCACAGACUAAACUGAUCUUUUUCACUCAGGGAUGUGCUGGUGGGUUGGCUGCCUCUCCACAUCAUCUGAAUUUUGCGGGAUCAGACAUGU